CCUACGGGAGGCAGCAGUGGGAAAUUUUGGACCAUGUGCGCAAGCCUGAUCCAGCCAUGCCGCGUGAGUGAAGAAGGCCUUCGGGUUGUAAAGCUCUUUCAGUUGGGAAGAAACGAUUGCAACUAAUAUUUGUAAUUAAUGACGGUACCGACAGAAGAAGCACCGCCUAACUACGUGCCAGCAGCCGCGGUAAUAA
rnacentral:rRNA from 1 species